rnacentral:rRNA from 1 species
AUGGCAUGGGGACAUGCCGACGGCGGCAUGGCGCAUGGUGCGGCACUGGUGCGUGCGCAGGCGCCGGCGCGGUGGAGCGGCCGGAGGCAGUGCCCACCGUGGCACGCCAACUCGCUGAAGAACGUUGUGCCGGAGAACCUGCCCCGGCCGUCCGCACGCCGGAGGUACAACGGCGUCGCGGCCGCCAACAAGGCGCAUGCUCCCGCGCCCGCGGCGUCGCCCGACGCCGUGCUUCCAUUCCUGGGGCUCCGCUCCGGCUCUGGCAUGGGCUGA